GCCGCCGCCGCCGUUCGAGCUCCGAUCCGCCGCCGCCGUUCGAGCUCCUCGCCGAAGCCGCCGCCGCUGGCAUGGAGGGAUUUGGUUGAGGUUGCUGUCCAUCAUAGUUUGUUGGAUCGCUGGUUCCUAAGUGAUUCCUCAGAUUGACCCGCUCCGUGCUCUGCUCCUUACAACCCGUUCCUUGGAUUUCUUGCAUUCUGUCUGCCAAG